AUACUUACCUGCCAGGCGAGACGCCAUGAUCACAAAGGUGGUUUUUCCAGGGCAAGGCUCAUCCAUUGCACUCUGGAUGUGCUGACCUCUGUGAUUUCCCCAAAUGUUGGAAACUCAACUGCACAAUUUGGGGCAAUGGAGGACUGCAUUUGGGCUCUCCCCUA